ACCUUAUUUGGCUCUGGCCUGUACAUUUGUCACGCCUCAAAAUUUACAUACAGACCAGCCCACUGGAAUUAUAAAGCAGACAGUUCUUCAAGGAUAUCGAAAAUGAGCCACGGUCGUAAAUGCAGUGUUCCAGGCUGAAACUUAGGCUACAAAUAAAGCUGAGACUUUCCAUAGUCUUCCCAAGGAUUCAAAAGUUCGAGGGGCAUGGAUAAUGUUUUUCUACCAGAAGAUCCCUGUAAAGUUUGACACUCCGUUAUUAAUUUGCAAAACAUUUCACCGAAGGCAGUUUUCAAAACCUUGUACAGUUAAGCAGGAUUUGCUAAGCUGCUGUUACUGAAACGAGGGGCUGUUCCGACCGUAAGGUCAUCACAACCGCAUGCUGUAAGUAUUACUCUGUCGCUAAGCAGUUAUUAACCAUGCUAACGUGUAUCUAGCAAGUAGAAUGUGUGAUUUAGUUCAUUGGCAAGGCUAUUUAAUUGUCCUGUGUGUCAUUCGGAUAAAACUAACUAACUGAAGCUGAGUAACACGAUAGUUUGGUUGCUAAGCUGUAAUAUAACCCAUACCCAUAUAACACAUACGUUUUUGACGUCAGAAGUGGAAACAACUUCACGUUAUCAAUUCAAAUGAUAUCUAGUCGAUAUGUUGAAAACCGUGUUGUCUAGAUACAAUGGAUUUAUUUGCACGUUCUUAUUUUAGAACAUUAGAAGAACGGCAGCAUGCCAAACAGAUGCCCCAAGUGUGGCAUCUUGCGGGGCUUAGAAUAUUAGCAAAUGCUUUUGCUGUGAGAACAGCUUGGUGUGUGCAUGCAAAAGUGACUUUCACUUGUGUUACAACAUUUCUGUUGUUUGGUUUAGGUUUUACCUAGCAGCCAUGCACUUCAAUGAGAAUGCUGAGUCCCCACAACAGAAGACAGCCAAGGAGAAACUAUGUACAGACUUGCCAAACAAUUUAUAAUCAAAGACCCUCUUCCUUAUUGGGAUGCCGUCCAGCGGAUUCCUGUGCCCCAGGACUUGUGUGCUCAGCUUGACAGACCUUCCAUGGAGGAUGCGGUUGCUGAACAUGAGUCACGGUUCAGUCGAAAAGGG